AGCUGAGUCUCGGAGAUGGAAUUGGGGCAGGCGCUUGUCACAUAAAGUCCAUGCCCUGCUCGCGGGCUCCUGUCGCAACACUGACAAAUCCGGGAGGCUUCGUGAGAGUGAAAAAAUGAGAGAUGAGGCACCAGAGGUCCCCAGGGAGCAAAUCUGAAAGCUAGCGCCUCCUGAGCACAGGCUGCCAGGGACGAGACGACAUUAGACAUUGUCCCCAGAUAUAAGAAGCAUCACUUCCUUCAGACAGAGCAGAUUGAUAGAUGAAGCAUAAAACAAGACCAGAUGCUGUGGUUUCCAGGAUGCACUUGGCUUCCCAUCCUUUAUAACCUGGAGCAUUUUUUUUUUUUUGCAUUUGCCGUCUGUGUCUGAUGUGUCCACCAGAGACCAGUCCCAUCAGGUGUCCAUAGGGUUUAAGAACGUGGAUAUUGCAGCCCAAGAGACUUGGCUUUAGAUGUAAGAUCUGUUAUUUACUAGCUCUGUGACUUUGGGCAAGUUAUUAAGCUCUCUAAGCCUCAGGUUCCUCACCCUUAAUACAGGGACAAAAGCGGUACUCACACCAUGGAGUUGCACUGAGAAUUAAAUGAGACAGUGCAUGGCAACUGCUGAGCUCUAUGCCUGGCACUUAGCAAGUGCUCAAUAAACAUGCCAUUGUAAUACCUCAGAUGUUAUUUUCAUUAUACUAUGAAGUGAUAUUCUCUCAUUUCCAGAAGCCCUGUAUGGACAAAGAUUCCUUCAUAUCUCCUUAGUGUUUGCAUGAGGACUUCACCUCUCAAGUUGUCAACUGUGGCAUCUUGUCUGGGAAUGUUUAUCUUCUCUGACUUAUGAAGAGGCCAUGCCUCUGUCUCUUUGACCUCUUAGUUCUCUCAUUCUCAGUUUUAAUACACCCCUCUGAGUGAGUCUUACUGAUUAGUAUUCUAUAAACCAUUAAUGAUAGUUAUAUAAAACCUGUAAGAUUCCAUCCUUGUGACCCCCCCAGACAAAUAAGUUUAAAAUAUUGGUCAAUCCAUGAAAAUGACAUCUGGAUAUUUCUCAGUUCACUGAAGACCAUCAUUAAUAUUGGCCGUCCCCAUCUGUCUAAUAACAACCAUUUAUUGAGCUUACAGUACUUGCUCUCGUGGAGUUCUGAAGACUCAAAUGUCUUGUGAAAAUGCAAGUCUUCAUAGCACUACUGAUUUUUUUUUAAGCUAGAGGUUUAACCUAUCUUUCAUCUCUAUUCAUUAUUUGUUUUGGGGAAACUUCCUUACUUAGAUUGCCGAGUGACUUUUGCACAGAAAAAAGAAAUUAGUUCAACGGAUGAAAGUGAGAUGCUGAACCAGAUUUGAGAUUUUAGAGGUCAAUCCUUUGCAUGUCUUAUCAUUUCUUUGCAAACUAUAACCUUUUUGUUACCCUUGAGGACUAUCAUAACAUCAGAGCUGCUAUUCUUCAUACAAUAUUUAAUUCGUUUGAACAUAACAUGUUUUUAAAAAAAUAUUUACUAUGUGCAACUCAUGGAAAUGCUCCUAAAAUUGAGGGAGUUCUACUGAGCAAAAGAAAUGGAAUAUCCUGUUUAGAGACUGAGUGCAUGGCUUCCAAAGGCAAGGGCAAAACUUGCUAAUUUUAGAUGUUUAGGGAUGAAAUAUCUACUAGACCUUGUUUCAUCUUAGAGAGGCCCAACGGUAGCGUACUAGCAAGCUAAUGUUGAAUUUGCCCUCCCCACCUAUUUAUUGCCAGUGUUUCUGGAAACAGAAAAACAAAACAAAGGGGUAAGGAAAAAAAACAGCAAAGUCUGUAUGUAACUUGAGUUAGAGAAGUGCAGGAAACAAAUCAAGUAUACUAAGUUAGCAGUGCUCAAAGUCCCAUUCAACUUCAGAAUAGUAUACCUGGUAGAGUUUCACAAACCUUUCUCCUUUCUAGCCUGCUGCUUAUUAAGUUUAAAUGCCAGAACCAUUCUGAGAGCUUUGAAUGCCCAUAUAAGGCCUGGAGCCAGAGACAUGCCCCACACCCAUUUCUUUAUAUUUUCUGAAUUCCCAAGUAAACGAGAGAUCAGAAAAAGGGACAGUAAAGGAAAGGAGACAAAGAGGUCGACUCCCCAACAGUGUUUUCUUCCCCUUUGGUGUUUUGCAAAAAGCUGAAGAGAUGCUAAUGAUUCUUUAACCAACUGAAAGCAGCGUUAGAAUUCUGUCUAGAUAUUCUUGAACCUCUGGGCAGUGUUCCACCUUCCACACUCCAAUCCAUCCAUCAUUCAAUACUACUUAUGCUAGAUAAACUGGCUUGCCAUAGUUUAUUAUCAUGUUGUCCUCACAGACUAGUAUUCAAGGAGCCUCCCCUGACCACUUCCUUGGGACUCUUGGAAGUAAACAGAGAAACAGUUUAAAUGAAUGGUAAAAACCCAUGAAAUACAGUGAUUGUUUUUUUAGGGGUGGGGGGAGAGUAAAUAAUCAUAUGUCUUCAGUUGAGAGAAUCAUAAGGAUUUCUAGCACAUGAAUACACAUUCACAGCCCAAAAACAGAAGACAACUAAAAAAUCUCAGCAGAGGGACGUUUCCUCCUCAUUCCAUAGGAGGGUGGGGAUCUAUGGCACUCCAUUUUAAUGAUCAUCCCCAAAUUCCAUUUCUGUGCCCAACACAGUAAAGCAUUUCCAAGUACAGAGUGUCAGACAGGUGAACAACAACAAACAGCCUCUGUCAAAAUAGUUUGAAGCAUGCAAGAUGUAGAUUAUUGAGUACAGUACUUGAAAAAUUCUAAAUUAUGACAGUCCUCAAUGACAGCUCUGUGACCUGUCUCAUGUUAGGUACCUUUCUGGGUUUCUGCCCCUGAAAUUGAAAUAGUUCUACCAACUUCAUAAUUCCGUGAUUCUGUGAUUCGAUCAUUCUGACCUGUAUGUGGGAGAACUUGUUUAAAUUUUCUCCCCUUUAGAAUCCAACAAAUGAAUGCUAAAUUUGAACUCUAGGUUUCAGAGUAUACUUUAACAUAUUAAGAAAUUAUAACGAUUUCUAACAAGACUUGUGUACUACCUUGUCAACUACCAUUUUGCCUGUCAUAGUUUUGUCACGAUGUGGUUUUCUAUUUGCUUAAAUUUUACAAUCUGUGAUCUCUAUGUAUGUAUGGUUGAGUUUAGUUCCUUGAAACCAAAGCGUUAAAUAUCAGUAAGGGCUAUAUCAAGAACUUUAAAAAAAAGAAGUGUGGUUAAUAUAAAUUCCAUCUUCCACAGAAGAUCAUGACUUUCAGAAUAUGAACUCGUGAACAACCGAGGGAAAAGAUUCUUUUCUGCUUUAUAACUAACUUUAUUAUUUUAUUCUCUUGAGAAUUCCCUAUCGAACUUGCCAAUGAGGGUUUUAUCUAACAUGGCACUUUUCUGGAAUGUAAUCAUCACUGCCCCCAGUUAGUGAGAGAUUACUAUAACAAAUAGUGAAAACACUCACAUAGAUUCUCAUGAAUCAUGUUUUAAUUGAGAGCUAGCCAAAGAGGAAGGGUGGAGAGGUAAGGACAUAGAUUUAUCUCUGCUUGUGUGUUCAUUUGUACUUUUAUUAAGAGAAAAAACAUUUUCCUCUUUUUUAAAUAAAAUCUCAUCCUCUAGGAAGUAAAUUCAGGAGUAAGACGCUCCACACCUGUUUUGCAUAGUCCAAUUGAUUGCUAAUUUCAUUGUCUUUUGACAUGCUGGGAGGUAUGUUAAUUUGGAACACAUCUCUCUCAUAGAAGUAACAAUUAACAAAGGUAAGAUGCAUCUUUUACCUUGAUAAAGACACCUGCUCCAGUGUUAUAGAAAUAGUUAGGGAAGGUCGAGAUAUAUAUAUCUAGAAAGAUAUAAUUUCAAGGAAUCAUGCUGUCUCAGGAUUGAAAGGAAUAUUAAAGUCAGUGAAUGUUCAACUGAAGGCGGUGUGGAACUGUAGAAAGAAUGUAUGCUAUGGGAUUAGAGGACCUGGAUCAAAUCACAGCUUUGCAACUUAGUAGCUGUGUGUUUGGGGUAGUUUAUUUAACCUCUCUGAGCCUCGGUUUUCUCACCUAUAAAAUGGGGAUAGUGACUACAUUACGGAGUUGGUGAAAGGAUUGAAGAUAAUGUAUGUGAAGGACCUGGGACAGACAUAAUAAGCAUUUAGUAAAUGAUUGUGGUGGUUGUGAUCAUAAAUGUCCCACCAACUGCUCAUUAAGCUUAUUUGAACAUUCCCAGUGACAUGGAAUUCACCAGCUGUUCAGGUAGCCCAUCUCAUGUUUGGAGAACUCUUCAGUGUUAGUUCUUCCUUUUACUGAGCCUAGAACUUUUUCUAUGGUUCUGAUUCUUGCCGUUGGGGCUGCACAGAUUAAGUGUGUAAAUCAAUUAAGCAUGUAAUCUAGAACGGUAUAUAUGCUUUAAGAGUGGUGUGACCAGUGUGGAUACUAGAGAUUUAUCAACACAGUUUAGGAUCAAACUAGCUUCCUUUUCCUGAAACCCACCCUUUUAAUACCUAUUGAAUUUGCUAUUAAUUAAAGCCUGUUUGUCUUUUGUACUAGAGCUGGAGUCAAAGCUUGAGUCCUGCAUGCUGUACCUAUCACAGUUUUGAGGGAGAGACUUAAGUGCAGAACCUUACAAUUAAAUCUUUAUCAUAUUAAUUAAUAAACUGGUAAAAUUCCAUUUGAGUCAUACAAAUAUAAUUUGAGUAUUAAAUCAUAUAUAAUGUGGCAUACCUGUAAGGUCAUAUAGUUAUAAAUGGACAAGAACAUAGUGCACUUUAUUUAACAAACACCGAUACGGUAUUUAAUAUGUGCCAAGCACUGUUCUAAGUGCUUUUCAUAUAUUAACUCAUUUAAUUCUCAGUCAUAAUAGCCCUAUGUGGUAAGUAUUAUUAUCUUCAGAUAAGGAAACUGAGGCACAGAGAGAUUAAGUAAUUUAUCCAGGUCAAAUAGCUAGUAAGUAGCAGAGCUAGAAUUUGAACCAGCAUGUUUAGUUCGAGAACCUGUGUUCAUACUCAUGCCCUGUUCCUAAAUUUGUUAAAAUUUAGAAAAAUUGUUACAUGGAUUGUUAGGGCCCCUUAAAAGCAAGAAAAACAUGACAAAUUAACACUGCUGGAUUUACGACCUACUUUAUAAAAGCAUUAUUAGAGAAUAUCUUUUGAGUGCUAUGGAUUUGAUUUAUGAGAAUAUAAAAUGUUGACUAGAAGCAAUAUCUAGCUCCAUUCUAAGCAGGACUAGGCUUCUAAUGGUUCAUUUUAUAUUUCAACUAUAUAAUUGAGAAGGAAUUGAUGAAUGCCUCUGAAUUUUUAUCUUCUCAUAUGUACUUUUUCUGAUAAAAAUUGUUUUCAAAUGUUAAGACAGCAGUACAUCAUAUUACAGUUUUAUUUUUAAAUUAACAUACAGUAAAGUUGAUUGUGUGUGCGUACCUGCAUGUGUGUACAGUUCUAUGAAUUUAAUACGAUAGAUUCAUAUAACCACAGUCAAGAUAUAUAACAGUUCCAUUAUCCUAAGAAACUUCCUUGUAUUACCCCUUUGUAGUUACCUCCUCAACCCUUGGCAACCAUGGAUCUAAUCUCCAUCACUGUAGUUUUAUCUUUAUGAGAAUAUCAUAUAUAAGUUAAAUCCUACAGUAUAUAACUUUUUGAGACUGGCUUCUUUUACUUAACAUGCCUUUGAGAUUCAUCUGAGAUUUGCAUA